GAGAAAUAUUAUUAAUUAGAGUAAAACAACAUGAAGGAAUUACAAAUCAAACACACACACACAAAGGAAUCAACUCUCAAAACAGAAUGGUCUCAAAUUGAUUAGGUCCCUGAAAUUCAACUCCUGCUCUAUGUAAUUCCAACUUCUUAAUUCCAUUUUUAAUGCCCAAAUACACAAAAUACUUUCCAAUUUCAUGCAUUGGGCAUUAGCAAUUCUAAAUGGCUUGUAUGCUUAUUGUGGGCAUAAUUUGCAGGACAUGCAAAAGUUAUGUUAUCCUUGCUGCAAGAUAUGCAAGAGAAUGAUCCAAGAAUAACAAUGUUGCAAUUGGUGGACAAGAUGAAGGUUAAGCACAAGGAUGCUGGUCCAGAGAUACAGAGAGAUGAAUUAGAGCAACUUGUGAUUCAGCUUAUAGUGGAUCGUGUUUUGGUAAGGAGCUCGACUCUUUAGACGUUAUAUCCGUGGAUGCUCAUUUCAUUAUUGUUGUAAAAAUGAGCUCAUGUGUUGAUGAUGAUUAUAAAUCAGAUAAGACAUGGAAUUCAAAUUUUUGAACUCUUACUUGAUAAAUGAUGUGGGUAUUUUAAAUCAAUUUGGAACUUUUUUUAUCAACAAGAAAGAAAAUUUUGUUAAAAUAUCACGACAUCCACCAAAAAAAAAAAAAAAACUAACAGAGGACAAGACAUCCAC